CCGGCUGCGCUGCUGCCCCGCGGCCCCUGGCGCCCUCCUCCUCGGCCCCUGGCUUCGGGAAACCCAGCUGCUCCUCUCAGGUCUCUGCGGACUCCUCGCCGUCAACCUUUGACCCCACACAACACCCCCGCCCCCCCAUGCCGCUGUCCCUAAACUCUGCGCGAACCCACCGCCGCCUUCGCUGAACGUUUGUCUACUUUUAAUUUCAAAGUGAAACGAGCAGAGGUUUCCCCGCCGCACCCAGAACUUUCCCUAGACCCUCUUCUGCACUUUCCAGGGCUGCCCCGCCGAGCCAAGCCCACUGCAGAGCACUCGGAUCCUGACACCCGGCGCCGAGUUGGGGAAGGACCUGAAAGGGCUACCAGGUGGUUAGGUGUUGAGUUGGAAGCAAGGAGUAAUUAACAUUGAGACAAAAGCUGCCGCUGAAAUUCGCUGCGGCCGCUGCCUCUUCCCGCUUUAAUCCCAGACCUCCAGUCAUUGGGCAGCUCCUCAGAGGCAAGAAGUCAACACCAUGGCAACCCGACAAGCCUAUCAGAUCACCGGCUGGUGUGACAGCAGCAACACUGCAGGCUGGAGUGGGCUGGGCAGAAGAGCAGAGUGGCCUCUACGCUCAGCGACAAAAUGAUACCAUCAUUUUUAUGUGACUCGUAUGCAAAACGAAAUACAUUCAUCUCUGAGGUCUGCUGAUGGGAAAUAAAAUCAGAUAUUUCACUUCUAACUCUAUCAAGCAAAAGAAAAAUCAGUUGUGAUUCCAAGAAGAGAUGAACUCUUGGCUUACCACUGAAAAGCUGUAAGCAUCCAAACUACGAAGAGCUCUUUGGACCCAUUGGACUCUGGCUUUCCUGGCUGAUCUGUGGCAUUGACUUCAAGGCGACAGAGGCAGAAGACUUUUUUAACCUUCAUUAUUUAUAAGUUUACUCUUGAAAGUGAAUGAAAAAGUUAAAUGUGGCUUCUUGGAGGUGUGCCUGACAGUCUGGGCUAUAGAUUAGCUAACCAAGCCACAUGGCUCUCACAGGGUUUAGCACAAUUCCCACCUGAAUUGCUCUGACCCCUGGGCUAUCUUGAUAAA